rnacentral:rRNA from 1 species
CGUCGGACAAGGAGUUUUAUCUCCUUCUUGACACCUUUGACCUCAAAUCAGGUAGGAUUACCCGCUGAACUUAAGCAUAUCAAUAAGCGGAGGAAA